rnacentral:rRNA from 1 species
CUUUACUAUAACUUGGCCCUGAAACCCGAAUUUAUCUGUGUAGGAUAGGUGGGAGACUUUGAAGCUGUGGCGCUAGCCAUAGUGGAGUCAACCUUGAAAUACCACCCUGAUGAAUUUGUGUUUCUAACCUAGUCCCAUUAUCUGGGACGGGGACACGGUCUGGUGGGUAGUUUGACUGGGGCGGUCGCCUCCCAAAUUGUAACGGAGGCGCACAAAGGUUCCCUCAGCCUGGACGGAAAUCAGGCGUAGAGUGUAUUGGCACAAGGGAGCUUGACUGUGAGACUGACAGGUCGAUCAGGUGCGAAAGCAGGUCAAAGUGAUCCGGCGGUCCCGAAUGGAAGGGCCGUCGCUCAACGGAUAAAAGGUA